ACAUCAGCCGCCGCGGUAAAACAGAGGGUGCGAGCGUUAAUCGGAUUUACUGGGCGUAAAGCGUGCGUAGGCGGCUUCUUAAGUCGGAUGUGAAAUCCCUGAGCUUAACUUAGGAAUUGCAUUCGAUACUGGGAAGCUAGAGUAUGGGAGAGGAUGGUAGAAUUCCAGGUGUAGCGGUGAAAUGCGUAGAGAUCUGGAGGAAUACCGAUGGCGAAGGCAGCCAUCUGGCCUAAUACUGACGCUGAGGUACGAAAGCAUGGGGAGCAAACAGGAUUAGAUACCCCUGUAGUCCCUGUCUCUUAUAC
rnacentral:rRNA from 1 species